UACGUAGGGUGCGAGCGUUGUCCGGAAUUAUUGGGCGUAAAGAGCUCGUAGGCGGUGUGUCGCGUCGGUCGUGAAAACUUGGGGCUUAACUCUGAGCUUGCGGUCGAUACGGGCAUCACUUGAGUUCGGCAGGGGAGACUGGAAUUCCUGGUGUAGCGGUGAAAUGCGCAGAUAUCAGGAAGAACACCCGUGGCGAAGGCGGCUCUCUGGGACGGUACUGACGCUGAGACGCGAAAGCGUGGGGAGCGAACAGG
rnacentral:rRNA from 1 species